rnacentral:rRNA from 1 species
GAUGAACGCUGGCGGCGUGCUUAACACAUGCAAGUCGAACGGAAACAGGAUGAAGCCUAGCGAUUCCUGUUUUAGUGGCGGACGGGUGAGUAACGCGUGGGUAACCUGCCUUACACUGGGGGAUAACAGUUAGAAAUAGCUGCUAAUACCGCAUAAGCGCACAGGGCCGCAUGGCCUGGUGUGAAAAACUCCAGUGGUGUAAGAUGGACCCGCGUCUGAUUAGCUAGUUGGUGAGGUAACGGCCCACCAAGGCGACGAUCAGUAGCCGGCCUGAGAGGGUGAACGGCCACAUUGGGACUGAGACACGGCCCAAACACCUACGGGAGGCAGCAGUGGGGAAUAUUGGACAAUGGGGGAAACCCUGAUGCAGCGACGCCGCGUGAGUGAAGAAGUAUUUCGGUAUGUAAAGCUCUAUCAGCAAGGAAGAAAAUGACGGUACUUGACUAAGAAGCCCCGGCUAACUACGUGCCAGCCGCCGCCGUAA